rnacentral:rRNA from 1 species
UACAGAGGGGGCAAGCGUUAUUCGGAAUUAUUGGGCGUAAAGGGCGCGUAGGCGGCUUGGCAAGUGGCUGGUGAAAUCCCUCGGCUUAACCGAGGAACUGCCAUCCAGACUGCUUUGCUUGAGGCCGGGAGAGGUGAGUGGAAUUCCCAGUGUAGCGGUGAAAUGCGUAGAUAUUGGGAGGAACACCAGUGGCGAAGGCGGCUCACUGGACCGGUUCUGACGCUGAGGCGCGAAAGCGUGGGGAGCAAACGGG